rnacentral:rRNA from 1 species
UUUUAGUUUUUAUACAAUACUAAAUGUACCUAUGGACUUAAAAUUUACUCAAACAGGGUACAGCCUAUUUGACACAGGAUACAACCUUUAACAGAGGGUAAUGCAUAAGCUAACGUGAUCAAGUAGGCCUAAAAGCAGCCACCUUUUAAAAAGCGUCACAGCCUUAUCACACUAUAUUAUCAAUCCCAACCUUAACCCAAAACCCCUUAUCAAUACUGAAUGACCCCAUACUAAUAUGGAAGCCCUUCUGUUAAAACUAGUAACAAGAAUAAUUAUUCUCCUACAAAUGUAAAUGUAAGCCGAAAUGGACCACCCAUCGGCACUUACCGCUAAUGACCCCACAGUAUUAACCCCCCCCCCCCCCC